CCUGCCCCUCCCUUGCUCGCGGGAACGGUUCCCUGGGCUGCUGCGCGCGGCGACGGUGACCAGGCCCAGGCCCGGGGGCGCUGGAAGGGGUUAGGAUACAACGCAAGGUCAGCAGUCUGCAACAUGGAAGAGGCUCCCACCAAAACCUGACCCUGCUGGCUCCCUAACCUCGGACUUCCAUCCUCCAAAACUGUGUAGACUUCAGAGAACGAAGCUUGUUACAAUCCUGCAUAAAAUGACCAGACUCUUUAGGGUGUUUCAAAGAGUCAAACAGCAUUUAGUGAACAUUCUCUGUUAAACCUGCCUGGAUCGCUCAGGGUUGUCUUCGCUGUCAGAGGUCAUUGCUGUGUCAUGUGUCAUAGUGGGGUUAAUGGACACGUGCCGGAACAGAUGACAGAAGCACCAGAAGUGAUCUUGGACAGUCAAGUGACAUUGGGAUGGAGGCCACACUUACGACAGUGGAGCAGAAAGAGAGAAGGCACCUGGGUCCUUGAUGACCUUGGAAUCACCACAUCAGUCCUGGUUUGCUUACCACUGGAAUUCCUUUACAUGAGAGAAAAACGAACUUUAAUGUUUCUAAGCCAUUGCUGUUUUGGUUUUUCUGCUUAUAUGCAGAUGAACUUAAUCCUAACCAAUAUUACCACUGACUGGUAAUGAAACCAGUGGUAUGUAUGUUUGAUAAGUAUUUGUUGAAUGAGUGAAUAAAUGAGAGAAGAUAGAGAACAUAUAACAUUUCGUACUCCUGCCCUCUGUCAUCUGAUCCUCUUUAGGACCUGGGUCUGUGGAGCUAUACUUAACAAUAUGAUUCCUUUAAUAGAUCAGUGGAAGACGCUGGACCACCCUUCUAACAGAUUACUUGGGACUCUACUCAUCACACAUCUCUAAAAAUAGUUGCUAUCUUGAAGAUUCUUUAAGAUCAUUUGUUUCAUAUCCAACAACUCAUUGCUAAAGAGACACAAGAAGCAGAAAAUGCAAAGAGACUAAUGUGUUGAUAAUUUUUGUGAAGAAUGUAAGUUGUGUCUAGAUUUACUUUUUUGCAUGUGGAUGUCCAGUUGUUCUAACUAUUUCUUGAAAAAUGAGUUUUUCACCAUUGUAUUGUCUUUGCUCCUUGUCAAAGGUCAUUUAAUUGUAUUUAUGUGGAUCUAUUU